UUUACCAACCUCCUCAGGACCCACAAAAGACCUACACUGGCUAUGGUACCGGUCCCAAGGUGCCUGAAAUUCCUACUGUCCCUCAGAAACAAAAUGUUCCACCACCAUCAAACCCUCAGGUCUAUGUGCCUCCUCCUCAGAACCCUCAAGUUUACCAACCGCCUCAGGACCC